AGUGAACGCUGGUGGUAGGCCUAACACAUGCAAAUCGAACGGCAGCACAGUAAGAGCUUGCUCUUACGGGUGGCGAGUGGCGGACGGGUGAGGAAUACAUCGGAAUCUACUUUUUCGUGGGGGAUAACGUAGGGAAACUUACGCUAAUACCGCAUACGACCUACGGGUGAAAGCAGGGGAUCUUCGGACCUUGCGCGAUUGAAUGAGCCGAUGUCGGAUUAGCUAGUUGGCGGGGUAAAGGCCCACCAAGGCGACGAUCCGUAGCUGGUCUGAGAGGAUGAUCAGCCACACUGGAACUGAGACACGGUCCAGACUCCUACGGGAGGCAGCAGUGGGGAAUAUUGGACAAUGGGCGCAAGCCUGAUCCAGCCAUACCGCGUGGGUGAAGAAGGCCUUCGGGUUGUAAAGCCCUUUUGUUGGGAAAGAAAAGCAGCAGGUUAAUACCCCGCUGUUCUGACGGUACCCAAAGAAUAAGCACCGGCUAACUUCGUG
rnacentral:rRNA from 1 species